AUUUAAAGGGCCGGGGCUCCAGCUGCCUCUGACACACACCCCUGCCCAGCCUGAGGUCGUUGCAUUCUACCCACCCCUCGUUAGCUGCAUGGAGGGCCCAGGGGGCUCUGUCCUUCUUUUCUUGUGCCUCCGCCCUCCCCGAAGCAAGUUCGACCCACUCUCCCUGGCAGCUGGGCAGGGAGCGGGACAGAGCUGUUUCUGCCGGAGAGGCAGCCUGGGCUCGGCUGUGGGGGGAGGCAGCGGGGCUCCUGCUCGUUCAGCCCCUAUCCUUGCAGCAGGGCCCGGAUGGGGGGUGGCUCACUGCCGCCCCAGAUGCCAGGGACAGGGGUGAGCGAGCCAGAGUCCCCUCUCCCCCUGCACCCCAGCAUGUUUCUGGCUCACGGGGACAGGGACCAAGUGAGCUGGAGUCCCCUCUCCCCCGCCCACCCCCGGGAGCCCGCCGGCUGCUGGCACAUCUCUGCGCACCCCUGGGGGAAGGGGAACAGCGUGUCUCCGUGUGCUGUCCACGCCUGCAAGCGCCACCCCCGCAGUUCCCAUUGACUUGUUCCCAGUCAAUGGGAGCUGCGGGGACAGUGCUGGGGGCAGAGGCAGUACGCGGAGCCUCCUCCCGCCACCCCUGCCAGGGGCCAGAGAGACAUGCCAGCAGCUGGCCGCUUCUGGGAGCAGCAUGGGUGUCACGGAGUAUUGGGGGACUCAGGGCCCUGCACCCCCGGCUCCCUGCGAUUCACCAUGACUCUCAGCCAGCCAGUAAAGCAGAAGGUUUAUUUGGAUGACAGGAAUACAGUCCAAGACAGGUCUUGCAGGCACAGACAACAGGACCCCCUCAGUUAAGUCCAGCUUGGGGUCCCAGGGCAUUCCAGCCCACCCCCCUUUGGGGGGUCAGAGCCAUCUCUCCCUCCCAGCCAUCUCUCCAGCUCGCUUCCAGCACUCUGCCUUCAGCGACCCCUCCCACAGCCUUUGUCCAGUUUCCCGGGCCCCGGAGUCACCUGACCUCCAACCCCCUCCUGGGUUCUCAUGUUACAAGCUCAGGUAUGUUCCCUCGGGCCGACUCCCAUCCUCCGAUGCAGACCAUCCUAGUCACACUCCCCUGUCAGCAUUCCCACACCCCAGCAAGAACAGUCCCAGUUCGUCACAAUGGGGCCACGGCAUACAGGCAACCUGCCUGUGCCCUACUGCACCACUGGACUUUUAGCAGCCCGGAGAUUGCGAUGGACUGGCUGAGGCUCCAGGAUCGACCAGUGGAUCGCAAUUGACGGCCCAGGAAAAAAAUCUCCAGGAGCAGAGGGGCAGUUCACACCUCAUCAGGGCAUGUAUGGGACAAACCCAGUCCAGCCUCAGGAACAAAGGACGCUGGCCUAGGCAGCAACAAAGGAUUUGUUGGAUUCUCCAGUGAGUCACCCCCAUUCCCUUGGUCAGUGUGGGACUGCAAUGAGGUAAUGCUCACCUGACUCUGAACGGGGGGCAAAGCCAAGAGGGAAGAAAGAACAUGAUAAAAGAGAGAGACAUUUUGCCAUGCUCUUCCUCUCUCUUCCACCUCCAUCUACAGACAUCACCACCAAGAGACUGAAGCGCUGAUCAAAGGGGAGAGCCUGGCUGAAGGGCAACCAGCCAGCCUGCGGUGAGAAGUGUCUAAGUUUGUAAGGGCAUUGAAAGUGUUCAGAUCAGCUUAGAAUGCGUUUUACUUUUAUUUUAUUUGAUCAAAUCCAACUUGUUGUGCUUUGACUUAUAAUCACUUAAAAUCUAUCUUCGUAGUAAAUAAAUCUGUUUGUUUAUUCUACCUGAA